UGGGGAAUAUUGCACAAUGGGCGCAAGCCUGAUGCAGCCAUGCCGCGUGUAUGAAGAAGGCCUUCGGGUUGUAAAGUACUUUCAGUCGGGAGGAAGGUGGUAAGGUUAAUAACCUUAUCAAUUGACGUUACCGACAGAAGAAGCACCGGCUAACUCCGUGCCAGCAGCCGCGGUAAUACGGAGGGUGCAAGCGUUAAUCGGAAUUACUGGGCGUAAAGCGCACGCAGGCGGUUGAUUGAGUCAGAUGUGAAAUCCCCGGGCUUAACCCGGGAAUUGCAUCUGAUACUGGUCAGCUAGAGUCUUGUAGAGGGGGGUAGAAUUCCAUGUGUAGCGGUGAAAUGCGUAAAGAUGUGGAGGAAUACCGGUGGCGAAGGCGGCCCCCUGGAAAAAGACUGACGCUCAGGUGGGAAAGCGUGGGGAGCAAACAGG
rnacentral:rRNA from 1 species